AAAAAAAAAAAAUCACCUUCCAUCGCGCGAAACCUCCGUUUAAUUUACUUUGGAAAGGCCGGUGCAGGGCAUCGCCAGUUGAGACUCGAGAACAUGGCAGCUGAAAAGCCCCAACAAAGCGCCGCCGCCGCCGAGAGAGAUAAAGAGAUGAGUCUCUCAUCACAAGAGAUGUCAAGAAAAACCCAUUGCUUUCUCUCCAAACCCUCAAACAAUUUCCUCUCAGAUUCUUCUAAUCCUCUUCUCCUUUCCAUGGCUAGGAGGAGGGGGAGUUAGAGCAGGAUGUCGUCGAAGUGCCCUUCGAGGAGCUCCAGAAAGCCCGUGCUGAUGGCUCCCACAGCUCCCACACCUUCCGCCCCCCAAGCCAACCCCCAACUAGAAGCCUGGUUGCACCAAUAAGAACAGGCGAUUUAUGGUUGAGAAGGCCGAUGGAGGCGAGCAGCAAGGUGCAUCCAGGGAGAUUCAGGGAGGUCAUCCAGGCACCCAAAAGAACAUCUGGAUCAGAUGGUGCUGGAUGUGCUGCGGGUCUUGGCACUUGAGGUAUUUCGAGCUAGAUUCAGUUAUAUUGGUGGUGACUGGAUCCGGUAGCCGUUAUGUUUUUCAAGAUAUCAAGGUCAAGCUAUAAUGUCUACAUCUAUUCAGUUCUUACUCAAUGUUGCAGAUCUGGCUAAAAUCCAGCUUGCAGUUGAUUUGUCUCUAUAUACUUUUGUUUGAAAAAAGUGAGAUGAAUGAUGUCUUUGAUUUGUAAUUGUUCAUGGGCAGGAAUAAAGUAUGUCAGUGCACCAAAAUUAAGCAGAA